rnacentral:lncRNA from 1 species
GCGAGGUGGGAGGGAUUAGACCGAUGGACCCGGAAAGGGCGGAGGAGGGAAGGCUUUAGUGUAGAAAACCAACCAAACCAAACCCAAACCAACAAAACCCUUCACCUAAAACCCGAAGCUACCCAGACCUCAGAAUUUUGGAUGUCUAUUAAGUUGGCGGGUCAGUAAUGCAAGAGAACCCUUCCACCGGAUCUGACGCACUAAGAAGGCUAGACAGUUUGAAAAGAGCCCCUAUCAAAGCAACCUGAAUUCUGCUAAAAUUGAAGCAAGAACAAACAUGGAGUUUCUGGUGAAGAAUGAUGAAAUUGAUGCCUUAUGAAAAGUUUAUGAGGACAAUGCCCCAAAUAAAUCAUCAGUCUACAAAUGCAUAACUCAUUUUAAGAAACGAGGAGAUGGACAAGCAUGGUGGCUCAUGCCUGUAAUCCCAGCACUUUGGGAGGAUUAUGCACGAGCCUCUCUCAAGCCCAGGAGUUUGAGACCAGCCUGGGCAACAUAGCGAGACCUCAUCUCACUAAAAAUUUAAAAAUUAGCCAAGUGUGGUGGUGCACACCUGUAGUUCCAGCGUCUUGGGAGGCUGAGGCAGGAGGAUUGCUUGAGCCCAGCAGUUCAAGGUUGCAGUGAGCUAUGAUUGCACCACCGUGCUGCAGCCUGGGUAACAGAGUGAGAACCUGUCUCAACAAAAAGGGGAGGAGAUGAUGUUGAAGAUACAGAUAGUGGCAGACUAUCCACAUCACUUUGUGAGGAAAAAAAUUCAUCUUGUUUGUGCCCUAAUUGAAGAGAACUGACAACAGCAGAAACAAUAGCCAACACCAUAGACAUCUCAGUUGGGUCAGUUUACACAAUUCUGACUGAAAAGUUACAGUGGAGCAAACUUUCAACUCGAUAGGUAACAAAACUGUUGUACCCAGAUCUGCUACAGUUAAGAGGAGAGCUUUCAGUGGAAAGUUUAAACAAGUGGGGUCAAGAUCCUUGAUAUGGCUUUGUGACCUCACCCAAAUCUCAUCUUGAAUUGUAAUCCCCAGCUAUUGAGGGAAAGACCUGGUGGGAGGUGAUUGGAUCAUGGGGGCAGUUUCCCCCAUGCUGUCCUCAUGAUAGUGAGGGUGUUCCCAUGAGAUCUGAUGGUUUUAUAAGUAGCAGUUUCCUGUGGGCUUUUCACUUACUGUUUUUCCUGCCACCAUGUGAAGAAGGUCUUUGCUUCCCCUUUGCCUUCCACCAUGAUUAUAAGUUUCCUGAGGCCUCCUGGGACAUGCGGAAUUGUGACUCAAUUAAACCUGUUUUCUUUAUAAAUUACCCAGUCCCCAGCAGUUCUUUAUAGAAGUGUGAAAACAGACUAAUACAAUCCUGAAGCAUUUCAUCAAAGAAUUGUAACAGGAGAUGAAAUAUGGCUUCACCAGUAUGAUCCUGAAGAAAAAGCACAAUCAAAGCAAUGUCUAUCAAGCGGAGGAAGUCAAAGCAAAGCAGACCAGUCAAGAGCAAAGGUUGGAGUGGCUCUGGUGACAACUCACUCUGUUCUCAUGGUCACAAAUCCCUGCUCACUGCUGCCACUGCUGCUGCCACCACAGACCAAGAGCUCCACUUGCACAGUGCUGCUGGCUAAGAAGAAGUUGCUGUACCUGAGCACUGGACCACAUGGACUCACAGAGACUCCCAACCAAGUAAAGGGGUGAUAUGGCUUGUGGAUGUCAACCAUAUUCUCUUCUUGAUCACCUCGCUGCUGGAACAAUGGGCCAUGGUCAGAGUAGAGUGGUCAUGGAGGUUGAAUAGAUGCCAUGAAUGGGUCCAAGAACAUGGACACUCUCUUUCACCAAAAUCAAUUCGGGUCUUGCCACUGUUAAUCACCUAACUUGCCAACAGCAGAGACUAUCGCUGAGUCUUUGAGAUGGCACUGCUCUUGGAGAGAUCAGGCAGCCAUCCAGUGAGAGGUUGACCCCUCUGCUUUGGAGGGGAUGGACAUUCAUCCUUAUCACCAUUGAUACUUGCUCUAGACAUGAGUUUUCCUUCUCUGCCUGAAAUUCCUCUGCCACUACCACCAUAUGAGGGCUUACAGAUUUCCCAAUCCAUCAACCUGCUUCUCACACACAUUAGCUCAGAGUAAAGGACUCAUUUUAUGGCAAAG